rnacentral:tRNA from 1 species
GCCUGGGUGGCUCAGUCGGUUGAGCGUCUGCCUUUGGCUCAGGUCAUGAUCUUGCAGCUUGUGAGUUCGAGCCCCACGUCGGGCU